GGUCCCGUAGCCAAGUGGUAAGGCAGAGGUCUGCAAAACCUCCAUUCCCCGGUUCAAAUCCGGGCGGGACCUCCA
rnacentral:tRNA from 1 species